CCUACGGGUGGCAGCAGUGAGGAAUAUUGCACAAUGGAGGGAACUCUGAUGCAGCGACGCCGCGUGAGUGAAGAAGUAAUUCGGUAUGUAAAGCUCUAUUAGCAGGGAAGAAAGUGACGGCACUUGAAAAAGAAGCUCCGGCUAAAUACGAGCCAGCAGCCGCGGUAAUACGUCUGGAGCAAGCGGUAUCCGGAUUUAUUGGGUGUAAAGGGCGGGUAGGUGGGAGUGCAAGUCCGAAGUGAAAACCCAAGGCCCAACUAUGGGAAUGCUUUAGAAACUGCUCGGCUAGAGUGCAGGAGAGGCAAGUGGAAUUCGGGGUGUAGCGGUGAAAUGCGUAGAUAUAAGGAGGAACACCAGUGGCGAAGGCAGCUUGCUGGACUGUAACUGACGCUGAGGCUCGAAAGCGUGGGGAGCAAACAGGAUUAGAUACCCCUGUAGUC
rnacentral:rRNA from 1 species